AUGAACGCUGGCGGCGUGCCUAAUACAUGCAAGUCGAGCGAACAGACGAGGAGCUUGCUCCUUUGACGUUAGCGGCGGACGGGUGAGUAACACGUGGAUAACCUACCUAUAAGACUGGGAUAACUUCGGGAAACCGGAGCUAAUACCGGAUAACAUGUUAAACCGCAUGGUUCAACAGUGAAAGACGGUCUUGCUGUCACUUAUAGAUGGAUCCGCGCCGCAUUAGCUAGUUGGUAAGGUAACGGCUUACCAAGGCAACGAUGCGUAGCCGACCUGAGAGGGUGAUCGGCCACACUGGAACUGAGACACGGUCCAGACUCCUACGGGAGGCAGCAGUAGGGAAUCUUCCGCAAUGGGCGAAAGCCUGACGGAGCAACGCCGCGUGAGUGAAGAAGGUCUUCGGAUCGUAAAACUCUGUUAUUAGGGAAGAACAAAUGUGUAAGUAACUAUGCACGUCUUGACGGUACCUAAUCAGAAAGCCACGGCUAACUACGUG
rnacentral:rRNA from 1 species